rnacentral:tRNA from 1 species
GGGCCCUUAGCUCAGUCGGUCAGAGCUGCGGACUCAUAAUCCGUAGGUCGCUGGUUCAAGUCCAGCAGGGCCCA